rnacentral:rRNA from 1 species
UGCAGAAUCCCGUGAACCAUCGAGUCUUUGAACGCAAGUUGCGCCCGAGGCCACCACGGCCGAGGGCACGCCUGCCUGGGCGUCA